rnacentral:rRNA from 1 species
AGUGGAUGGGGAGCAACCUAGUUGUGCGUGUGUAAAGGUAGUGCCAAGAAAAGCGGUGAUCAUGAUGAAAAUCAAUUCCCGGUACCCAAAACCGACACAGGUGGGCAAGUAGAGAAUACUAAGGGGCGCGAGGUAACUCUCUCCAAGGAACUCGGCAAAAUGACCCCGUAACUUAGGGAGAAGGGGUGCCACCGAGAGGUGGUCGCAGUGAAGAGGCCCAGGCGACUGUUUAGCAAAAACAUAGGUCUCUGCAAACUCGAAAGAGGAGGUAUAGGGGCUGACUCCUGCCCAGUGCCGGAAGGUUAAAGAAGUUGGUCAGUCUUAGGAUGAAGCUAGCGACUGAAGCCCCGGUGAACGGCGGCCGUAACUAUAACGGUCCUAAGGUAGCGAAAUUCCUUGUCGGGUAAGUUCCGACCCGCACGAAAGGCGUAACGAUCUGGGCGCUGUCUCGGAGAGAGGCUCGGCGAAAUAGGAUUGUCUGUGAAGAUACGGACUACCUGCAUUUGGACAGAAAGACCCUAUGAAGCUUUACUAUAGCUUGGAAUUGUGUUCGGGCUCCUGUGCGCAGCAUAGGUGGGAGGCGAAGAAGGUAUUCUUGUGGGGAUACUGGAGCCAACGGUGAGAUACCACUCUCAGGAGGCUAGAAUUCUAACUUAAUUAAGGACAGUUUCAGGUGGGUAGUUUGACUGGGGCGGUCGCCUCCAAAAAGGUAACGGAGGCGUACAAAGGUUCCCUCAGACUGGUUGGAAAUCAGUCGCAGAGUGCAAAGGCAGAAGGGAGCUUGACUGCGAGAAGUACAGUUCGAGCAGGGUGGAAACACGGUCUUAGUGAUCCGACGGUGCUGUGUGGAAGGGCCGUCGCUCAACGGAUAAAAGUUACUCUAGGAUAACAGGCUGAUCUCCCCCAAGAGUUCACAUCGACGGGGAGGUUUGGCACCUCGAUGUCGGCUCAUCGCAACCUGGGGCGGAAGUACGUCCCAAGGGUUGGGCUGUUCGCCCAUUAAAGCGGUACGUGAGCUGGGUUCAGAACGUCGUGAGACAGUUCGGUCCAUAUCCGAUGUAGGCGUGAGAAUAUUGAGAGGAGCCUUCCUUAGUACGAGAGGACCGGGAAGGACGCACCGCUGGUGUACCUGUUAUGAUGCCAAUUGUAAACGCAGGGUAGCCAAGUGCGGAGAGGAUAACCGCUGAAAGCAUCUAAGUGGGAAGCCCACCUCAAGAUGAGUAUUCUGGUGUAAGGUCACGGGAAGACGACCCGUAAAUAGGCACGAGGUGGAAGUGCAGAGAUGUAUGAAGCCGAAGUGUACUAAUAGACCGUCGGCUUGACC